AAGCAAGAAAAAUAAGGGAAGAUUAAAUAUUGUCCACAUUUUAUGUUGCUUUCAUAUCACUCCCAAAUUCAAGAGCUUCGUCUAUUACCUAUAAUAUAUCAGUAAAUUACUAAUACAUUUUUUGAAAACAUUAAAAACCCAGUAUGGAACACCAAAAAAGUUAUCAAAAUUUUAAACUGAUUUUCUUUCAUUCAUCUGGUCUGCCCUUACUAUCACAUAAAUUAGUAUAUGUGCAUGUUUGCUUGAAUACCAAUACACAUGCAUAUGCAAAAUCAAUGUUUGACUCAUGGAAAGCUUUUGGACAGAGUUAAUCUGAUUGAGGGUGAUCUUAUUUUUAUUUUUAGUAUGUGCAGAUCAACAAAUGUGACUGGAAAAAAAAACUUCAUUGUAAAGUUCCUGAGUUUAGUGUACUAAUAUAAAUAAUAAGAAAACUGAAUUACAAUGCAAGACUUACAUAGUUACAUAUUGCUUUCUGUUAUCCACUCGGAAAUUGAAGGGAAAAAUGCAUUCCAGAGAACUAAACCACGCUGCAUAGAGUGUUUAAAGUGAAAUCCUAGAUUUUACCUCUCAGUCUUUUUAGAAAGAGAGUAAUAAAACUUGUCUUGCUAACUCUCUUAAGUUAAUCUCCCAUGGACACUGAGACUGGACAUGGCCACUUCUUAUGGGACCACAUUUCCCCAGCUGACAAGGGAUCUAUUUCUCUCUUUAUACAGUAAGAAACCUGAGUUUGGAAUUUAUUCUCCUCAAAGCUUGCUUAAGUACACAAAUCAGUGUCCUGAUUGUUUAUUUUUCAAAUCCUCAGGCCUCUGAGAUACAUACCACGAACCUCAUAGGUUUACAGGUGUGUGUAAGAUCUACCAGCAGAUUUGCAGCACUGAAUACAAAGGAACAUUACUUUCUUGUAGGAAGACUUAACCUGAAGCUGAUAAGGUUUAAUGUACAAAAAAAUGUUGUAAUAAAAUACUUUCCAGAAGAUUUUUGGAAAAGAAGUCAAAGCAGAAAGUUUCCACAGGAAGGAUAUGCAAAGAAUAAUC
ensembl:lncRNA